ACACGACUACAUUAGAUACCCGGGUAGUCCUAGCCGUAAACGAUACUCGCUAGGCGUCGGCCACGGUGCGACCGUUGUCGGUGCCGUAGGGAAGCCGUGAAGCGAGCCACCUGGGAAGUACGGCCGCAAGGCUGAAACUUAAAGGAAUCGGCGGGGGAGCACCACAACGGGUGGAGCUUGCGGUUUAAUUGGAUUCAACGCCGGAAAUCUUACCGGGACCGACAGCAACAUGAAGGCCAGGCUGAAGACUUUGCCGGAUUAGCUG
rnacentral:rRNA from 1 species